rnacentral:rRNA from 1 species
UACGAAGGGGGCAAGCGUUGUUCGGAAUUACGUGGGCGUAAAGGGCGCGUAGGCGGCUUAUCAAGUCAGGCGUGAAAUUCCCGGGCUCAACCUGGGGGCUGCGCUUGAUACUGAUGAGCUUGAAUGCGGGAGAGGAUAGUGGAAUUCCCAGUGUAGAGGUGAAAUUCGUAGAUAUUCGGAAGAACACCAGUGGCGAAGGCGACUAACUGGACAUGUAUUGAACGCUGAGGUGCGAAAGCGUGG